rnacentral:rRNA from 1 species
CAGUCGCCGCGGGAAUACAGAGGGUGCGAGCGUUAAUCGGAUUUACUGGGCGUAAAGCGUGCGUAGGCGGCUUCUUAAGUCGGAUGUGAAAUCCCUGAGCUUAACUUAGGAAUUGCAUUCGAUACUGGGAAGCUAGAGUAUGGGAGAGGAUGGUAGAAUUCCAGGUGUAGCGGUGAAAUGCGUAGAGAUCUGGAGGAAUACCGAUGGCGAAGGCAGCCAUCUGGCCUAAUACUGACGCUCAGGUGCGAAAGCGUGGGGAGCAAACAGGAUUAGAUACCCCCGUAGUCCCUGUCUCUUAUAA